GAUGAACGCUGGCGGCGUGCCUAAUACAUGCAAGUCGAACGCAUCUAGCAAUAGAUGAGUGGCGAACGGGUGAGUAAGACAUAAGCAACCUAGCCUUUUGAGGGGGAUAACUGCUGGAAACGGCAGCUAAGACCGCAUAGGCAUAUUGAUCGCAUGAGAGAUAUGUUAAAUAUCCUACGGGAUAGCGAAGGGAUGGGCUUAUGACGCAUUAGCUAGUUGGAGGGGUAACGGCCCGCCAAGGCGACGAUGCGUAGCCGGCCUGAGAGGGUGGACGGCCACACUGGGACUGAGACACGGCCCAG
rnacentral:rRNA from 1 species